rnacentral:lncRNA from 1 species
UGAGUGGGACUUAGAACAAGAAAAGGCUCUGAAACAGAUCCAAGAUGUUGUUUGAGCCAUGCAACUAGAAGAUCUCAUAGAACUAAAGUUAUCUAAUUUACAGAAAAGGUUUUACGUGACGUCUAUUGUACAGAUUCAUAUGAAAACCAUAGUUCAAACUCCAAGGUUUAAGAAGUAAGAAAGAUCAUGCCAUUUGCAACAAACAUGCAUGCAUAUUUGAAAAGCAACUGUAAGUAUGCUAUUGGACAUUGGUAAAGAUUGAAUAUCUGACCAUGGCAUAUCAAGAAACCAUGGAAUGAGUACUGCUUAUCAAGAUCUGGGUGUGAGAAGACUUAAAAAGUCAGAUAGUCAGUGAGAACCAGCUAGAAUCCAUGUGAAAAAGUGGGAAGAUGAAGUGUUUGGAGGGCUUUUAAAUGGAGUAAAAUGGAAACAAAGACAAGUUAUCCCAACACCAAAAAGAGUAGGGGAUAGAAGGAUAUGUCAAGGUUUGAAAACCAUCCUUCAGAAAUGCAGGAAAGUCAAAGCUAGAAAUCUGUUGUGGGAAAACUAGAAGACCAAAAAAAGCACGAAAGUCAAGAAAGAAGUCUCUUUUCACAUGAAAGUGGCCUGAAGACAAAUACUGCUAUGAAUGGUUACAUCUAGGACUUCUGAAAUUAGCCCCAGAUUCAACUCAUUUUUUUCUGCAUUUGCUGAGCAAUAUGACAUGUUUACACCGAUUAGCUAAAAAGUUAUGUGAAGAAUGGGCAACAAUAUCUCUAAGUAACUAGGAGACCAUGUCCCUUGGCAUAAGUAUUGAUCUUCAAUAAUUUGUCCUUGAUAUUGAGAGAAGAGGAUCAAACUAUUUGAACCGGAUUGCUGUACUUCAACAUGUAAAGUGAAAAUGCAGACCCAGUUGACUAUAUUUCACUCAUUUGGGCCAAAGAAGCAGAAGUUUAUUAACAAAGAAGGAGAAUAACAAAAGAAAUAUAAGAUGGAAAGAAAAGCAAAAAGAAAGAAAACUAAAGAAAAAGCAAAAGAAAGAAUACUAAAUCUGAAAUACAUUUUCGUCCCCAAAUCAA